CCCAGCGCCGGGGCCCACCCUGAAGGAUCUGGGGCGGCCGCUCUGGGACCCCGGGAAGAGCGCGGCGAGGAAGAGGCACUUCCUGCCUGGGCCCCCCACCCUGGGCCGAUUCCCGAGUGCCUCGAAGCCGCCCGACCCGAACGGGCGCCUCAGUCCCCACCGGCCCCGAGUCCAGCCCCUCCCGCGGGACUCACCCUGAGCGGCGGUGAGAUCCGCGGCUGCCAGCGGCUUGUCGCUCUUCAGCUGGCGGCCAAUGUAGUCAGUCUGGGGACCCACCUCCCCCUUUCAGCUGAGCGCACACAACACAGCAUCCACGUGAGUCAGCUUCUUAAAGGCGAAGGCUUGGCCUGUCUAAUUGCGGCAGCUGCGAGACAUCGCACGUCAUUAGCGUCACCAGGUAGCGGCUGGAGCCGAGCUUCCUGAUACCUAGUGAGCCGCGGUGAUGACAAAUGAAAACAAUAAGCUGUUUCCUAGACAAACAGCUGCCUAGUUUCGCUCUGUCGCCCAGGCUGGAGUGCAGUGGCACAAUCUCGGUUCACUGCAACCUCUGCCUCCCGGGUUCAAGCAGUUCUCUUGCCUCAGCCUCCCAAGUAACUGGUACUACAGAGAAUUGAUACAAAAAAUGAUCAUGUGAAGAAUUUGCAUCUUCUGCAGAACUACCGGUAUCAGUCAGCAGUAGGAGAUUGUAUAAAUUCAGCCUGAGAUUCCAGAAUAUUCUGUGUAUUGACCACCACAGCAAGAAGAAAAAGUCCAUGUAGGACUGAAAUGUAAGUCUUACGAUUGCUCAACCUGGUCUCUCUACCAUAACACCUUUGAAUUGAGUUAUCUCACAAAUAAUAAUUUCCAUGUCUACUUGAAGUGGA
rnacentral:lncRNA from 1 species